UACGUAGGGUGCGAGCGUUGUCCGGAAUUAUUGGGCGUAAAGGGCUCGUAGGCGGUUUGUCGCGUCGGGAGUGAAAACACACAGCUUAACUGUGUGCUUGCUUCCGAUACGGGCAGACUAGAGGUAUGCAGGGGAGAACGGAAUUCCUGGUGUAGCGGUGAAAUGCGCAGAUAUCAGGAGGAACACCGGUGGCGAAGGCGGUUCUCUGGGCCGAUACUGACGCUGAGGAGCGAAAGCGUGGGGAGCGAACAGG
rnacentral:rRNA from 1 species